rnacentral:snRNA from 1 species
UCGGCUUAAACUCAAUGAGUAAGGAAACUAGCGCUCUACCUGACAAGUAGGGUUGCUCUCUAGGUCCAGCUCGACCUAGGAGCGCAUUUCAAAUUUCUGACGGAGGUGGAAUGGCUGUCUAGCGCAUUCCGACCCUUGUACUUUUGGGGUCGUCUGUUCUAGGGGGUCGGUCCCCGCC